ACAAACGCUGGCGGCAUGCCUAACACAUGCAAGUCGAACGAACUAAAAUAAGCUUGCUUAUUUUAGUUAGUGGCAAACGGGUGAGUAACGCGUGGGAAUCUACCCAUCAGUAAGGAAUAACAUUUGGAAACAGAUGCUAAUACCGUAUAACCUCGAGAGAGUAAAGAUUUAUCGCUGAUGGAUGAGCCCGCGUCAGAUUAGGUAGUUGGUAGGGUAAUAGCCUACCAAGCCUACGAUCUGUAGCUGGUUUGAGAGAAUGAUCAGCCACACUGGAACUGAGACACGGUCCAGACUUCUACGGAAGGCAGCAGUGGGGAAUAUUGGACAAUGGGCGAAAGCCUGAUCCAGCAAUGCCGCGUGAGUGAUGAAGGCCUUAGGGUUGUAAAGCUCUUUCAGUAGGAAAUAUAAUGAAGGUACCUACAAAAGAAGCCCCGGCUAACUCCGU
rnacentral:rRNA from 1 species